CACCCCAUUCCUAACACUAGCCC
rnacentral:miRNA from 1 species